rnacentral:rRNA from 1 species
UGAGGAAUAUUGGUUAAUGGGCGCAAGCCUGAACCAGCCAUCCCGCGUGAAGGAUGAAGUUCCUAUGGAUUGUAAACUUCUUUUACACACCAAGAAAAACUCGAACGUGUUCGAGCCCGACGGUAGUGUAUGAAUAAGCAUCGGCUAACUCCGUGCCAGCAGCCGCGGUAAUACGGAGGAUGCAAGCGUUAUUCGGAUUCAUUGGGUUUAAAGGGUGCGUAGGCGGCUUUUUAAGUCAGUGGUGAAAUCCUGCCGCUUAACGGUAGGAUGGCAAUUGAUACUGGAAAGCUUGAGUACAAUUGAUGUAAGCGGAAUGUGUAGUGUAGCGGUGGAAUGCUUUGAUAUUACGCAGAACACCAAUUGCGAAGGCAGCUUACUAAACUGUUACUGACGCUGAUGCACAGAAGCGUGGGGAGCGAACA